rnacentral:lncRNA from 1 species
CAAAAUGUUUCUAAUCUUUCCAUAUUAACCCAAAAGGUUUCUAAUCUUUCCGGAUCUGAAUAUUUUAGUCUUGCCGACAAUCGAAGGAGAGUGAAAGGAUAGGGAAGGAGAAGAGGGAAAGAGAACCUAAUGUGGAGGCAGUUCUUUGAGGAUAAUGGAGGGUUUAGAUUUAUGGCCACCAUUGUUGAAAAGACAACAAUAACAGUAGGGGGAAGAGGAAACGAUAGUGGUGAAAAA